CCCAGCCUUGAAAGGUUGGGCUAUUGUAUUCCGUCCCUACCGGGACU
rfam:Pirellula sp. SH-Sr6A, complete genome.